rnacentral:tRNA from 1 species
GCUUUGGUGGUUCAGUGGUAGAAUUCUUGCCUUUCAUGCCUGGGUUCAAUUCCUGGCCAAUGCA